GCGUAAAGGGAGUGUAGGCGGUUGAUCAAGUCUGGUGUGAAAGCUUUACCGCUCACCGGAAAGAGGUCAUCGGAAACUGAUCAACUUGAGUAGGGAAGAGGCAAGCGGAAUUCUUGGUGGAGCGGUGGAAUGUGUAGAUAUCAGGAAGAACAUCGGUGGCGAAGGCGGCUUGCUGGGCCCUUACUGACGCUGAGACUCGAAAGCGUGGGGAGCGAACAGGAUUAGAUACCCUGGUAGUCCACGCCCUAAACUAUGUCGACUGGUUGUUGGGGGUUUGACACUCUCAGUAACGAAGCUAACGCGUGAAGUCGACCGCCUGGGGAGUACGGCCGCAAGGUUAAGACUCAAAGGAAUUGACGGGGACCCGCACAAGCGGUGGAUUAUGUGGAUUAAUUCGAUGCAACGCGAAGAACUUACCUACCCUUGGAAUGUCCUGGAGGCGGAAGAGAUUCCGCUGUGCCCGAAAGGGAACGGGCACACAGGUGCUGCAUGGCUGUCGUCAGCUCGUGUCGUGAGAUGUUGGGUUAAGUCCCGCAACGAGCGCAACCCUUGUCAUUAGUUGCCAUCAUUUAGUUGGGCACUCUAAUGAGUCUGCCGGUGACAAANCCGGAGGAAGGUGGGGAUGACGUCAAGUCCUCAUGGCCCUUAUGGGUAGGGCUUCACACGUCAUACAAUGGUCGGUACAGAGGGUCGCCAACCCGCGAGGGGGAGCCAAUCUCACAAAGCCGAUCGUAGUCCGGAUUGGAGUCUGCAACUCGACUCCAUGAAGUCGGAAUCGCUAGUAAUCGUGGAU
rnacentral:rRNA from 1 species